CCUACGGGGGGCAGCAGUGAGGAAUAUUGGUCAAUGGGCGGAAGCCUGAACCAGCCAAGUAGCGUGCAGGAUGACGGCCCUACGGGGUGUAAACUGCUUUUAUACGGGAAUAACGCGCCGUAAGUGUAGGGCUUUGCAUGUACCGUAUGAAUAAGGACAGGCGAAUUCCGUGCCAGCAGCCGCGGUAAUACGGAAGGUCCGGGCGUUAUCCGGAUUGAUUGGGUUUCAAGGGAGCGUAGGCCGCAUGUGAAGCGUGCUGUGAAAUGUACGGGCUCAACCCGGGCCUUGCAGCGCGAACUGGCGUGCUUGCGUCCGCGGCACGCAGGCGGACUUCGUCUUGUAGCGGUGA
rnacentral:rRNA from 1 species